AGAGUUUGAUCCUGGCUCAGGAUGAACGCUAGCGGCAGGCCUAACACAUGCAAGUCGAGGGAGAAGCCUUCGGGCUGAAACCGGCGCACGGGUGCGUAACGCGUAUACAAUCUGCCUUUCACAUAGGGAUAGCCCGAAGAAAUUUGGAUUAAUACCUAAUGGUAUAUAGGGGUGGCAUCACCUUUAUAUUAAAGCUGAGGCGGUGAAAGAUGAGUAUGCGUUCUAUUAGCUAGUUGGAGAGGUAACGGCUCCCCAAGGCGACGAUAGAUAGGGGUUCUGAGAGGGAUAUCCCCCACACUGGUACUGAGAUACGGACCAGACUCCUACGGGAGGCAGCAGUGAGGAAUAUUGGACAAUGGUCGGAAGACUGAUCCAGCCAUGCCGCGUGCAGGAUGAAGGUCCUAUGGAUUGUAAACUGCUUUUGUAAGGGAAGAAUAAGGAGUACGUGUACUUUGAUGACGGUACCUUACGAAUAAGCAUCGGCUAACUCCGUGCCAGCAGCCGCGGUAAUACGGAGGAUGCGAGCGUUAUCCGGAAUCAUUGGGUUUAAAGGGUCCGUAGGCGGGCUAAUAAGUCAGAGGUGAAAGCGCUCAGCUCAACUGAGCAACUGCCUUUGAAACUGUUAGUCUUGAAUGGUUGUGAAGUAGUUGGAAUGUGUAGUGUAGCGGUGAAAUGCUUAGAUAUUACACAGAACACCGAUAGCGAAGGCAUAUUACUAACAAUUAAUUGACGCUGAUGGACGAAAGCGUGGGGAGCGAACAGGAUUAGAUACCCUGGUAGUCCACGCU
rnacentral:rRNA from 1 species